rnacentral:rRNA from 1 species
ACUCAAAUGAAUAGACGGGGACCCGCACAAGCAGUGGAGCAUGUGGUUCAAUUCGACGCAACGCGAAGAACCUUAUCCUGGUCUUGACAUCCUUGGACAACCGGCGAAAGUCGGCUUUCCCUUCGGGGACCGAGAGACAGGUGCUGCAUGGCUGUCGUCAGCUCGUGUCGUGAGAUGUUGGGUUAAGUCCCGUAACGAGCGCAACCCACGCCUCUUGUUGCCAUCAUUAAGUUGGGCACUCUAGAGGGACUGCUAGCGUUAAGCUGGAGGAAGGUGUGGAUGACGUCAAGUCCUCAUGGCCCUUAUGACCAGGGCUACACACGUGCUACAAUGCAGGGUACAAAGGGCUGCGAAAUGGUGACAUGGAGCCAAUCCCAAAAAACCCUGCUCAGUUCGGAUUGAAGUCUGCAACUCGACUUCAUGAAGCUGGAAUUGCUAGUAAUCACAGAUCAGCAUGCUGUGGUGAAUACGUUCCCGGGUCUUGCACACACCGCCCGU